UGAAGUCAACGGGCUAACCUGCCUUGGCAGGAAGCAGUUGCCCAAGGUGAGGCUGGCGACUGUGACGAAGUCGUAACAAG
rnacentral:rRNA from 1 species